rnacentral:rRNA from 1 species
GGUGGAGCGAUUUGUCUGGUUUAUUCCGAUAACGAGCGAGACGCACCCCUACUUAAUACAUCGUGAAUAAUUUCGUUCACAGGUGUUCUUAGAGGAAUUGGCGGUAUCGAGCCGCACGAAAGUGCGCAAUAACAGGUCUGUGAUGCCCUUAGAUGUCCGGGGCUGCACGCGUGCUACACUGGAAGAAUCAGCGUGUUUUUCCAUUGCCGAAAGGUAUUGGUAAACCGUUGAAACUCUUUCGUGUCCGGGAUAGGGAAUUGAAAUUAUUUCCCUUAAACGAGGAAUCCCUAGUAAGUGUGAGUUUAGCUCACGUUGAAUACGUCCCUGCCCUUUGUAC